rnacentral:rRNA from 1 species
AUUGAACGCUGGCGGCAGGCCUAACACAUGCAAGUCGAGCGGCGCGGCAGACGGGUGCGUGAUGCCUAGGAAUCUGCCUGGUAGUGGUGGAGAGCGUCAGGAACCGGGCGCUGAUACCGAAUACUCUCGGAUGAGCAUAGGUGGGAUUAGCUAGUGGGUGGGGUAAAGGCAUACCAAGGCGACGAUCCGUAACUGGUCUGAGAGGAUGAUCAGUCACACUGGAACUGAGACACGGUCCAGACUCCUACGGGAGGCAGCAGUGGGGAAUAUUGGACAAUGGGCGAAACCCUGAUGCAGCCAUGCCGCGUGUGUGAAGAAGGUCUUCGGGUUGUAAAGCACUUUAAGUUGGGAGGCGUUACCAACAGAAUAAGCACCGGCUAACUUCGUGCCAGCAGCCGCGGUAAUAC